UGAGUCGGAAUAGACUCUACGGCAGUGGGUUUGGUGCUGUUAUGAGCUUGGCUGUUAACUAAAAGGUUGGCAGUUCAAAUCCACCAGCCACUCCCUGGAAACCCUAUGGGGCAGUUCUACUCUGUCCUAUAGGGUUGCUAUGAGUCGGAAUCGACUCAUGGGCAAUGGGUUUGGUUUUUCCAGUUUGUGCUAUUAUGAGUCCCUGGAUGGUACAAACGUUUUAACUUGUUCUACUGCUAGCUAAAAGGUUAAAGGUUUGAGUUUACCCAGAGGUGCCUCAGAAGAAAGAUCUGGGAUCUACUUCUGAAAAACUAGCCUCUGAAACCCUACAGAGCACAGUUACACUUUGACAGACAUGGAGUCAGCAGGAGUCAGAGUUGACUCAACAGCACUGCUUUACUGGUGCUAUUAUCAACAACUACGAUUAAAGCUCAGGAUAAAGUGGAACUGAGAGGACACAUCUUGCAACGUUUUUCAAGUUAAGUCCAUCUCAACACGCUGUUUUCUUGAAGUUUCUGAACAUAAUGUCUUUCAAUUUGAAGAAGUACUUAGACAUUUUGAGAGGAAGAUUUCUACAAAGCAGGGACUAGGGUGGAAACGAUAGUUUUUGUUUGUCUGUAUACAGGUCCUUUUUCCUGGCUAGUAUUUACCAGCAGUGGUAAGAAGGGGAAUUUUCAUUAAUAAGGGCAUCAGAGCCCACAAAUAUCAGGUGACCUGAAUUGACGGUUAAUGCAUUAAUGCCCUGCUCCCUGGCACAGCCUUUGUUCUGAAGCUAAAACAAGAUGUACAAGCCACUGCUUGUUGCUGGGGACGGAGACCACCGUGGCCAAGGUCUUUGAAAAGUUUGCUUCUUUGUUAAUAGUCCCCAUCACCAAGUGGGAAGUCUUGUCAACAAAAGCAAUGUGUCAUCUGGCAGAUGGUCAGAGGGGUCUGGCCCCAUUGAGGAGUCAGGUUUCAGAUCAAUUAAGUCUAGGGCUGUGGGCCAAUCUGUCGAGACUUGCCACCAGUGUCGGGAUCCUUUGUGACACUCCUGGCCUGGUUUCCAUUGUUGGUGGCAGAGCAAAGCCUGUCAGUAAUGAAUUGGCUGAGCCAUUGAUCCCCAGGCUCCUGGGCCAAACUUCCUUCCAUUCAUCUUGGCUGUACUGACCUGAUGCUGCAAAUGAGGCAAUAUGGUGCCAGAGCCAAGGGUAGAAAGAACAGUACAUUGGCCAAGGGCAUGAGAGGUGAGUGGGACACGUCUGAGGCUGGAUAAAGGGUGAAUGAGAGCCGCCAUGGCUAGGAGACGAAUAUUUACACAGUGGCUCAAAAAGUCAAUAGAUAUGGUGACAGGAGGCAAUUAAGGAUGGAUGUAUUCUUUUUUUUGUAUUCAGCUCUGACAACCACAGGGACCAGAGGGAGAGACAGGUAGGUUUUUUUCAACGGAAAUCCUCCUUCCAAGAUACAAUCUGCAGUGGGGCAUGCUGACAACUUCACACAGAAUCUGCCACUCAGACACUCCUCUGAACCCUGAAAUCCAACCAAACACAGAGCUCUGGAGUUAAGAGUAAAAUUUUCAAGUGCAGCAGUGGCACUGCUCUUUGGUGGACAGCCUUUUCUCUUUGUGAUAUUCCACCUCUCCCAGUGUUCAAUACCUGCUUGGCCCUUUAAUAGCUCCCCAGGGCCUGGAUACAGCUGGGCUUCAUUUACCAAAACAAGAAAUAUUACAGGCUUCUAAAUAGAAACGACUGUCGAGAUCACCUAGUUCAGUGACCUCAUUUUACAAAUGAGAAAAGGGUGGUCAAGACAGGCUAAGUUACUUCCUUGAGGUCAUCCAGCUGGUGCAGGGGAAUUAGCUCAAAUGGAUUGGUGAUGACUUACAGCAUGAAUGAUAGGGGAGCCAACACCUGCAUCCUCAGCAUGGUAUUUUCUCCCGUACUGGAUGAUGACAUAAAGUGUAGCUAAGGAAGGUAGUGCAAUUAAUUAAUGGAGCAAAGUACAAGUAAGUACUGUUAAUAUGGUACCACGAACUAUCUUACCAGAGGACCCAGGAAUACUUAAAUCGUGCCUACAACUAAUUGGUUCCUCAUAUGAAAUCCCAAGAGGAAAUUUGUCCAUGGGAUAAUGAUCAGUAAGGCAAAGGAGAUUAUUUUUAAACUGCUGUUUACUGUUAGCUGCUGUUGGGUUGGCCUCGGACUCAUGACAACCCCAUGCACAAGGGAAGAAAAUCCUGCUUGGUCCUGCACCAACCCCACGCAUGAAUGGUUGCAAAUCCGUCUGUUGUGAUCCAUAGGGUUUUCAUUGACUGUUUUUCAGAAGUAGAUAGCCAGGCAUUUCUUUCUAGUCCACUGUAGUCUGGAAGCUCCCCCAAGAAACCUGCUCGGCAUCACAGCAACGUCUAAGCCUCCACUGGUGGUGGCUGUGCGUGAGGUACGUUGGCCAGGAAUCAAACCUAGGUCACCACCAUGGAAGGCAGGAAUUCUACCACUGAACCACCACUGCCCCCUAUUUUUAAUUAGUCAGGGCUUUUUUUUCUGAAACCUAAGAGAACUCUAGAAAAACCAGAGUCAAACCACAGGAAGGCUCCUAUUUAGAGCAAAGCUGGACCAGGCAGCAAGCAGCCGCAGUGUAAAGUCCAUUUCAAAGAGGUUGUUGGAAGUGCUUACAAAGGAGGAAGUGGGAGAGAAAGGAGGUGAUUCACGUAGAAUAGGAGUUCCCCUCCGUUUAGGGAACUGCAGCAAGACACCGCCCAGCUGGAUGGGACCUCAGGGGCCAUUUCUUCAAACUUCCUCAAUUACUAAUUUAGGAGCUGAGGGUACUGAGAACUAGAGAAGUAAGGUGCUCUAGGGGACACUACAAACAAAAAACCUCAGCUCUCAAAGAAGUGAAAAUCUUGGUUGUGAGUGUGACUGGUGAAGGAACAGAGAAUAAGCAAGUAAACAAAGAAGCAGAUGACCACGUCUUUCUCCAGCUGACUUGCUCCUGGGUUUGAACCACUGACCUUUCCGUUAACAGCUGAUCCUUUAACCACUGCACCACCAGUGCUCCUUCUAAGAGCUUUACAGUCUUAUAUUGUAUGAUUUUUUUUCGGGGGGGGAGGUCUUUUGGGGAAAAUAAAACCAUUUCUCUGAUGUUCAACAUUAUUUUCUCCCUUGAAAUAGCACCAAAAAAUUGUUUUAUUAAUCGUGACACCUGCGUUUUAAAAUGGACUAGAAUUAAUUACAGCUGCAUCAUUUGAUUUAAACAAAACCCAGAUUAUCGGUAUAACUCCAGCAAAUGCAUUAGCAACAUCGCUUUCAUUUUCUUUCUCCUUGCUAAUUGAGUAGACAGGCUUUUCCUUUGCAGCAAACAUCUAUUGAUAAAACAUCUUUAGCUGUUCUGUCAUCCAUUAAAUUGAUGGUGGGGAGGCCUUCAAUGCCUAUAAAUUUGACCUACGUUCAGCAAAGCCACACAUUUAAAAUCUUGACUCAGGAUUUUAUAAGUCUUAAAAUGUUUUAACCCCAGACCAGAAUCACGUAAAUUAUAUAUGACUCGACCAUAGUUGAAGGGCUUGGGUAAAUGGAUUUGCAUGCCUUCACUUCUCUGCACUCUAAUUAAAUUAACUUUAGGAAUGUUUCUGUCUGCUCACAAGUUGGAGUGAGUGGAUUUUGUAUGCACUAAUGCAGGGCACAAGUUGUAAAACAGUAUAAUUUGUACCCACAUUCCAGGAAGGUGGGGGCUUCCAAGUUAAAGGGAUUAGAGCCAGGAGCCCAGCCACAUAAAAGUAAGCAAGAGAAGAAAAAUAGGAAAGUAGAACCUAUAAAAGAAAUAGUCUAGGCUUCAG